rnacentral:tRNA from 7 species
GCCAGAGUGGUGAAAUUGGUAGACACGACGGAUUCAAAAUCCGUUGCCCGAGAGGGCGUGCCGGUUCGAGUCCGGCCUCUGGUACCA